GCUCGCCGUAGCCGCAUUUCCAACAUGGCGGCUCCCCAGGAUGUCCACGUCCGGAUCUGUAACCAAGAGAUUGUCAAAUUCGACCUAGAGGUGAAGGCGCUUAUCCAGGUACAAAUUCUUAGGCUCCUGUCCGGCUCUCGAUGGCCGCCUUGACAUCUUCCAGAAUAUUCGCGCCUGGUCCGGUUCCAGGAUGGCUCCUAAGGCACCAUUCGGUCGGUUCCCCGAGAUCACUGACCUUCAGGCUUUUCUUUUGUGAACUGUUGGUUUGCCCACCCCUGAGUUACCCUAACACGCCGCUCCCUUUCCUUGGACUGCAGCCGUGCUGGGCUAGCCCGCCCACCCGCAUUCUCGGCUGUAGCCCCGCCCCACCCCUCGCCCUGCUCGCCUCCCACGCCCACUUCCCUAAGUUAGGGACCCUGAGGCACCCAAAGCCACCUGGCCCGACAGUCCCUGCCCGAAGCUAACUAAGUUAACCUGGGACGUGGUUGUAAUUUUUUGAACAAAGAAUUCAAAUAUUGUGCAAGAUCCUGGGUCAGAAGGCAGGCAGUGCCAGUAUUAGGACCUGGAUGGGGAAAGCCAGCCUAGGAAAAUCAUUUUAGAGCUUCCCUACCCGGAAACAGACUGGAAAAUGAGGCGCUUAUCUGGAAGCAGGUCUUAAGUAGGAGACAGUAGUGCAGGAACACAAGCAAGAACAGGGAAUGUAGAAAUGGCUCCAGAGUUUGGCAAAAAGAACCCAACCGGCUCAGAAUACAAGCUGUGACAGCAAAUAAGGAAAGGGUAGGGGUGUGACUCCGCUGGUGAGGACUUUGCCCAGCACUGGGUUCGCCAUCCCCAGUGCUGCAUAAAUGGGCUGUGCCUAGCUGUUGGGGUAAGCUUGGCUUUACUAGCCCCUAUAAAAAGGAGCAUGGAGAGUAGUGCUCUCUGGUAAGCCAGAUGUACACUCUGCCACAUUAGCAGUUUAUCCUGUGCUGUGAGGAAGUGUUGAUUUUGUGAGUAAGCUAGAGAACAGGUAAAGAAACGCCGCAAACUUUACUCCUGAGAUGUGCAAACAAAAAAAAUGGGCCAAUUCU
rnacentral:lncRNA from 1 species